CAGCUAGAAAGUAAAGAUCAACUAGAGAAUAUCAGCAGUGUCUAACCCACUGUUGUAUUUACACAAGUUGCAUGAGAAUAAGCAACAGGUUGAUUUAUACUAAUUUGUUAUUUUUCUUUUUUAGCACGACUGAAAAAAAGUUUUAAAAUCAUGUGACGUCAUAAAGCAGCAACUGUGCCUGAUUCUCACAAAUCAGCAAAACCAAAACAGACGUGAUGAAAUUCCAGAUGUAAACACAUUUGACCUUUCUUUGUCCAAAUUGAUUUGGAAAAACUUGAAAAUCAACUAAACGAGCAGCCCGAACAAAUGAAGAAACUGGUAGCCUACUUUGGAAUCAUUGGUGUUUUCCACUAAGCAGUUUGGUGUGUCCCGGGAAAGCUUUUGGCUCACUUUUUGGCUGAACAAAUUAACUGGAGCAGGGCAAACCAAAAUGUGGCCUUUCAUGCACUCUCCCUUACGACUGUCUAGUCAAUGUAGUGAGGAGAAAUGUCCAUACCACAUCACUGAUAAAGAAGUGGAAAAAUGCAUUACAAGGUGGCUACAACGUGCUCCUGACAGGGCUGGAGGAAGGAGGGAAGAAGAGAAAGCUAAUGUGUCAAAUGUCUACAUCAAUAAUUUAUUUUUUAAACAACAUUUUAAGUGUAUUAAGAUGUUCCCUGAU